rnacentral:rRNA from 1 species
CAGCCGCCGCGGGAACACGAAGGGUGCAAGCGUUAAUCGGAAUUACUGGGCGUAAAGGGCGUGUAGGCGGCCUGGGGCGUCCCAUGUGAAAGGCCACGGCUCAACCGUGGAGGAGCGUGGGAUACGCUCAGGCUAGAGGGUGGGAGAGGGUGGUGGAAUUCCCGGAGUAGCGGUGAAAUGCGCAGAUACCGGGAGGAACGCCGAUGGCGAAGGCAGCCACCUGGUCCACUUCUGACGCUGAGGCGCGAAAGCGUGGGGAGCAAACCGGAUUAGAUACCCCCGUAGUCCCUGUCUCUUAUAC